UACGUAGGGUGCAAGCGUUAAUCGGAAUCACUGGGCGUAAAGGGUGCGUAGGCGGGUCUUUAAGUCAGGGGGUGAAAUCCUGGAGCUCAACUCCAGAACUGCCUUUGAUACUGAAGAUCUUGAGUUCGGGAGAGGUGAGUGGAACUGCGAGUGUAGAGGUGAAAUUCGUAGAUAUUCGCAAGAACACCAGUGGCGAAGGCGGCUCACUGGCCCGAUACUGACGCUGAGGCACGAAAGCGUGGGGAGCAAACAGG
rnacentral:rRNA from 1 species